CACUUUUCCGUGGAAAGACCUAUUGGAUUUCUUCUUCUGAUUAUUUUUUUUUUCUUCCGCCUAAUUUUUUUCCUUCGCUGUUUUUUGUUUCGCAAGAUGUCGCCUAGAUUUUUAGAAUAUGAUAUCAAACAGUUUAUACGCUUUUGAAACCAACUCUGCUUAACCGAAUACUUUCCCAAAUAAGAGUUAUCUCCCCGAACACUAUUUUUCUUGUUAUCUCUAAGGCUUCGCAACCGUAUAAGAAAC
rnacentral:lncRNA from 1 species